rnacentral:rRNA from 1 species
UACGAAGGGGGCUAGCGUUGCUCGGAAUCACUGGGCGUAAAGGGUGCGUAGGCGGGUCUUUUAAGUCAGGGGUGAAAUCCUGGAGCUCAACUCCAGAACUGCCUUUGAUACUGGCGAUCUUGAGUCCGGGAGAGGUGAGUGGAACUGCGAGUGUAGAGGUGAAAUUCGUAGAUAUUCGCAAGAACACCAGUGGCGAAGGCGGCUCACUGGCCCGGUACUGACGCUGAGGUGCGAAAGCGUGGGAGCAACAGG